GAACGGUGCAAGCGUUACUCGGAAUUACUGGGCGUAAAGCGUGCGUAGGUGGUUUUUUAAGUCCGUUGUGAAAGCCCUGGGCUCAACCUGGGAAUGGCAGUGGAUACUGGAAAGCUAGAGUGCGGUAGAGGGUAGUGGAAUUCCCGGUGUAGCAGUGAAAUGCGUAGAGAUCGGGAGGAACACCAGUGGCGAAGGCGGCUACCUGGACCAGCACUGACACUGAGGCACGAAAGCGUGGGGAGCAAACAGGAUUAGAUACCCUGGUAGUCCACGCCCUAAACGAUGCGAACUGGACGUUGGGAGCAACUUGGCUCUCAGUGUCGAAGCUAACGCGUUAAGUUCGCCGCCUGGGGAGUACGGUCGCAAGACUG
rnacentral:rRNA from 1 species